rnacentral:lncRNA from 1 species
CCGGAAGCAGGUGAAGGCCGGGCGGCUGCAGGGCUGCACUGGGGUAGACCCGAGUGCCAUGGGGAGCCUCUCUAGAGAGCCGGCUGCUCACUGCUUAGCAAACAAGCUGGGAGAAGAGCCCAUCUUGGCUUAACUGGACCUUUCAAAGCAAAGUCAGGCGCAUCUGCAACCCCGGGGCGUGGUUCCUGGUGGAGGGUGACAUGGAUCCAGCCAGCCCUUCCAGCCACACGGAGCCCAUGGACCUUCUGGUUCCUUAUGCCGCAGAAGCUCCAGGAUGUAGGCCUGGAGAAAGCCUCUUUAGGAUUCAAGAUGCGAUUGUGUUCUCCGAUCAUUACACAGAUGUGGGCAGUGCCUUGUACACCCAGUCCCCCUCGGGCCCAGAGGGCCACGGUGUUGGCAGCUGCUCCUUGGAAGUCGCUGCUGGGGACUGCGAGACGUCUCCGGAAGAAUUUGCUGGCCUGGGAGGUGGAGAGAUGCUGUGCGCCGUGGGGAAUGCACUUGGUUCGGAGAUCCCUGCAAUGGAAUUUCCACCCCCUCCAGCAGAGAACCUGAAUGCUCAGGACGAGGGGAAGGAUGACGCUGCCCAAGCACUGUUCUGGUCCGGGAUCCUCCAAGCUCAGCUGUGUGUGCUGGACCUGCAAGGGGAGCUGGAGAAGCAAGAAGAGCCUGUUGCUGAGCUAAGCAGCUGGUCCCAGGGCCCUGAGGACGCACUGAGCCGCGCCCCGGCUGCACAGGGCUUGCCCAUCUCCGGGGAGCCACUGGAUGAAAGAGCCACCACAGCCAGCGACAGCGAUGAUGGGCAAGAGGCCGGCCUGGGGAGGCAGGAGGAGGAGAGCUGGUCGUCCGACGGGGAGGAAGAGCAGUGCCUCUUCUACAACAACCCUCUCUUCCAGGAGAGCCCAGGUCCCGCGGGGCCCAGCCCCUCUGACGGCCCUGCCUUUUGGAGUGCCACCGAGGGGGACUGCACUGGUUCCAGCGAUGAGGUCGAUGGGGCUCCCCAGGGCGAGUCGGUGUCAGGUGGCCAGCGGGAGGAAGAGCUCUGGUGCCCCUUCGCCAAGGCGACCGAACCGGGAGCCGAGGAUGAGACGCCGUCCGAUUUCCCCGCCUACACGAUGCACUGCAGCACUUGGGCCCCCUUGGUGAUCACAGAACGGGACAUCGACAGGGCCUGCUCGAUGGCCGAAGAGCCGGAGGCCUCCGGCCUCCCCCCCGACCAGCUGGCGGAUGGAGCCGACUGCCGCCCCCCGGUUGUCCUGAGC